AAAAUUUUAGUUUAAAAAAAAUUUUUUUUUACAAAAAAAAGAUAUUUAUUAUAAUAAAUUUUA
rnacentral:tRNA from 1 species